UUGUAUAUCUUCUUUGGAGGCAUGUCCUUUGCCCAUUUUUAAAUCAAGUUGUUUGAUUUUUUUGUUGUUGUUAGUUAUUAGGCCCUUUGCUUCUGGACACCCAAGAAAGAGUGAAACAAUUCCGUCCGUCAGUCAAGCAACAACUCCUGCGUGACCUUUGGGGGUCAGGCCUUGCACGAGGCCUGUGACGAACCCUUCCCAGAGGGCAAUGCAGAUGGCAGCCGCUAGUAAUGGGACUUGGUAUUUUCUUGCAGUUACCUGGAAUUUACCAAGGGAUUUUCAAGGAGCUGAGAACCAGGUUGUGCACCUGCAUCCUCAAACCACGGGCAAAAUGGAUAACACAGGCAUCACAGGUUGACAUUCAAGAGAACUUAGAAGAUUUCAAGAUUUGCACCUAAAAAAAAAA